CUCAUGUCUCCAGAAACCAGCUGCGGCCGAUAAUGAGCCAAAGCCGUGUGUCCUCGACUCACAGGAGUAUUACAUAUGGAAUUGUCAGGACGACAGAGCAGCUAAUAAUUCAUACAGAUAUACUUGCAUACCACAGUGAGGAAACACAGUGUGUCGAAAUCCAAAUUCUCAAUCAAUGACAGGAUUCUGGGAUUAAAGGUUGUUUUUCUCUGGACUCAUCUGAAAUACCAGUGUGUGUCUCUCCAUCACGACGUCAGCCGUGAACGAGGAACAUGCUGAUCACAUCAACAUGUCUUCCUGGUCUCCACACUGCAUCCCACGCUUUUGGAAAUUAUUGUUUUCAGAGAGGAAAUUCCUGCUGAAUGAACUUCA